rnacentral:rRNA from 1 species
GCGGAGGGAUCAUUACUGAGUUUACGCUCUACAACCCUUUGUGAACAUACCUAUAACUGUUGCUUCGGCGGGUAGGGUCUCCGCGACCCUCCCGGCCUCCCGCCUCCGGGCGGGUCGGCGCCCGCCGGAGGAUAACCAAACUCUGAUUUAACGACGUUUCUUCUGAGUGGUACAAGCAAAUAAUCAAAACUUUUAACAACGGAUCUCUUGGUUCUGGCAUCGAUGAAGAACGCAGCGAAAUGCGAUAAGUAAUGUGAAUUGCAGAAUUCAGUGAAUCAUCGAAUCUUUGAACGCACAUUGCGCCCGCCAGCAUUCUGGCGGGCAUGCCUGUUCGAGCGUCAUUUCAACCCUCAAGCUCUGCUUGGUGUUGGGGCCCUACAGCUGAUGUAGGCCCUCAAAGGUAGUGGCGGACCCUCUCGGAGCCUCCUUUGCGUAGUAACUUUACGUCUCGCACUGGGAUCCGGAGGGACUCUUGCCGUAAAACCCCCAAUUUUCCAAAGGUUGACCUCGGAUCAGGUAGGAAUACCCGCUGAACUUAAG